rnacentral:lncRNA from 1 species
GCGGGCAGAGCUUCGACUCGGGAACCGCACUUUUCGGGAUCUUCGGGAUCUCGGGACUUGCCUCGGGGCUAGAGUAUAAUACCGGGGCUUCGGGGUGUAAAAAUGCAGAGCUUCGGCGCAAAGAUGAGAAGAAAUGAGCAAAUAAACCCUGAACCCUCGCAUCCUAUUUAUAGUGAAAAUAUCUGAUGUACUCGCCGAGUAGGGGACACCUACUCGCCGAGUUGGCCCAUACUCGCCGAGUAGGGGACACCUACUCGCCGAGUUGGUCCAUGUGGCGGCUUUCUGGUGGUGCCACGUGUCAAAUUCUGGGUGGUGCCACGUCACCCCUAUCGCGUGUUAGCCUUCGAACUUAGAAAAAUCAUAACUCUCGCAUACGAGCUCCGUUUUUGACGUUCUUUAUAUCCACGCGUAGGUAAAAUCAAGAUCUACAACUUUCGUUUAGACUCCGUCGGCUAAAUCUUGACCGAUCUCAAAUUUAACAGUAGGAGGCGUUUAGACUGUUAAAUGACCGCGAAGAAUUCGUAACUCCUUCAUACGAACUCCGUUUUCGUCCAUAUUUUUACCGUUGAGUUCCUAUUAAUGAGACCUUCAACUCUCAUUUAGGUCGCGUAAGCCAAAAACCGCUCGAACUAAAAUUCGAGUUUCGGGUCGUGCACUGCUAAGCCGAAUCUUAGAAAAAUCAUAACUUCCUCAUACGAAGUCAGAUUUGGGCGUUCUUUUUAUUGACGCUCUUAUCUUAACAUAUUCUACAACUUUUGUUUAGAUUGAUAAGGCUAAAUCUCGCUCUAUCGUAAAUUCACAAUUUACGCUUCCCGGUGCCAUGCCGGUUUUGCCGUAAAACUUCGACAUGUCAUAACUUCUUCGUUAUGACUCGGAUUUCGGCAUUAUUUAUAUCUUCGGAAUCCUUGUUUCGACCACUACAACUUUAUCUAAUGAUAUCAAGUUUAUUUUAAACUUAAAUUUCGACGCUUAUUUUUAUUCUUAAUUAAUCAAACCACAUAAUUAAGCAAUUAAACACAAAACACAUAAUACUCAAAUAAUACAUUAUUAUUAUUUCAAAACGGGUUACAAAGGUUAACCUAGACUAUUACAUUGCUAAAAAUGGCAAGCCCGGAAAC